UCGCUGAGCUCGGCGAGCUGCGGGAGCGCCGGCGCUGCCGCAGGCGGCGGAGCGGGCGGCCCUGAGGAUGCCACGCUGCGUUCGACACCGAGCUCGGUGAG
rnacentral:tRNA from 1 species